rnacentral:rRNA from 1 species
UACGGAGGGGGUUAGCGUUGUUCGGAAUGACUGGGCGUAAAGCGCGCGUAGGCGGAUCAUCAAGUCGGGGGUGAAAUCCCGGGGCUCAACCCCGGAAUGGCCUUCGAGACUGGUGGUCUUGAGUUCGAGAGAGGUGAGUGGAAUUCCGAGUGUAGAGGUGAAAUUCGUAGAUAUUCGGAGGAACACCAGUGGAGAAGGCGGCUCACUGGAUCGACACUGACGCUGAGGUGCGAAAGCGUGGGGAGCAAACAGG